AAUGCAUAUGUCAUACACGAAAAUAAAUAUGGUGAUUUUGCAUUGAAGAUGUAAUAAUCAGUAAAAGAAAAUAUCAAUAUGAGCAAGAAGUCAAGGAAAAUUCUUCCAACUAUGAUGCUUGGUUUGACUAUCUGAGAUUACUAAAAUUUGAAGAAAAUCAUAAUGUAUUAAGAGCGUAUGAACGAGCUAUAGCAAAUGUCCCAUCUACUAAGGAGCAUGGAAACGAUAUAUCUAUCUGUACAUAAAUUAUGCUUUGUAUGAAGAAAUUGACAUGGUAGUUAUAGGUAAAUGUCGUCAAGUUUCAGAUACAGUUUAUCUUAUAUAAAAUUAUUGUUAUAUAUAAAGAGUUUUAUAGAGCUUUAUAAUACUUUAUUAUUGCAUAUAAAUGUAAAGAAAGUAUACUUUCUUCAAGUAGAUUUGACGCGCGUCUCAUAGCCCGCCCUUCCUUUGUCUUUCGUUAUCUAUAAAUUCUUUUGUUACCUACAAAUCGUGACGUUAAGAUUUGGGGAGAGAACGGGCAGUAAGAAAUAGAUCGUAGACGAGAGUAAUAAUUAGUAAAUAAAAUUUAACAGAGUGAACAAUAAACGUGAAUUGUCGUUUUUUGUUCACAGGUAAGAUUAAUUAGCAGUUAAGUAGUGAUUAAUAAAUAAAGAUUCAUUUCUUUGGUCACAGAGAAACAUAUUUUCGUAUAACU